CGUAGGUGGCAAGCGUUGUCCGGAUUUAUGGGUUUAAAGGGUGCGUAGGCGGUGAUUUAAGUCAGUGGUGAAAUACUUCAGCUUAACUGGAGAGGUGCCAUUGAUACUGGGUCACUUGAGUACUGAUGAGGUAGGCGGAAUGGACGGUGUAGCGGUGAAAUGCUUAGAUAUCGUCCAGAACACCGAUAGCGAAGGCAGCUUACUAAGGAGUAACUGACGCUGAGGCACGAAAGUGUGGGGAUCAAACAGGAUUAGAUACCCUGGUAGUCCACACUGUAAACGAUGAUCACUCGAUGUUGGCGAUACACAGCCAGCGUCUUAGCAAAAGCGAUAAGUGAUCCACCUGGGGAGUACGCCGGCAACGGUG
rnacentral:rRNA from 1 species